CACCUGUCAGAUUUGCCCCAUGAAGCCAGAUCUCCAUCCCCAGAUUUGCUUUCUGAUCUGGAUACAGCACAAAAGAGCAGCUGAAUGUUUGGAUUGGAAACAUUUCUGUUCCCUUUUAUUGCAAGAUGUAGCAGCGACGCAUUCUCCUGAAGAAGACCCUUUUCUAUUGCUAAGCACAAAUUAGCACGCUAAUAUAAACCUCACUGCUAUAAAAAUGAGCGGCGAGUAAUAAUUUUACCUCCUUUCUUACUGUGACCAUUUGUAGCCAAAAGUACACCUGAAAUUAAUAAAAUACUUGUUGCAAAGUCCGGACACCUUCACUUUGAAGCAAGGUAAGGAGAAACAGAGUUCCUCUAUAAAUUCAAAGGAUGUGUAAUUGGUAAAAGUCCAACUAAUAGCAAAUCAGUUCAACUACCGUGUUUUAGAUUUCUUGCGACAUCAGCUAUCCCCGAAAUUCCAUUAAAUAUGAUUAGUUUAAUUAUUUUGUCCUUAGUAGAAGAGUGCUAAUUAACUUGGUAAUGAUAAAUAUGCAUUUGAAUGUCAGUUUAAAACCCCUAAAGAUUCUCAUUAUCCUUAAAAUCUGAGGUAUGGAUUUUUUAAUUUUCUUUUUUUUCUUUUUAGCAUUAGGACCACCACAGAAAAGAUUUCUUAAAAGUUGGGAGAGGAACUCAAAGGUAGCAGGCAUUAAAAUGUCGUAACAGUUCUGUAGCUCUUAUCAAGGCUUUCUUCCAAUGGAAAGAAAAAAGAAAAGUGAAUUUUUGGUGCCACCUUUUCUUCAAAUGCUAUCCCCAUGUGGAUAACAGCAAUACAAAUGAAAUAAAACAGAGUACAAUAUAAUAAAGGAGCAAUAAAAG